UUGUGCCAUGGGCAGUAAUGUAGCUCCAUCAUUUGCAAACUGCUACAUGUUCACCAUUGAGGAGGAGCUCUUCCUUAGCAGACAAGAGAGUGUUAAUCCCAGAAGCUUUGAUUGCACCACUCAGGAGGGUCUGUCCAUGCCAGGGACGUGUGGUGAGUUCUCUCCUUUAUGUUGUUACUUUCUGGGACUGCAACCAGUGAAUUUUCGGUGCCUAUAUUUCCCAUACAAAGGAGUCAGUUUGUAGUGUACAAUCAGAAAAUCAAGCCCAGAAAGAAUAAAAAUGAACAGAACAAAAGGUGCCAUGGAAAAAUAUCUGUAUGCCUACCACGCGCAUUGUAACUGAAACGUCUUUGCCUUUUCUCACUGAAAAUGGAAUUGUCAGCACCUUUAACAAACUUAUUUUAUCCAAGAACACGCAUAUUCGCAUCUGGCUGUUCCACUGUUAUAUAGUUCAAGAAGAGCAUAAAUUAAUAUGGUAACCUGCGUUUAUAAGAUUAAUGUGACCUUCUGAUUAAAAGGAAAAGUGACUUCUGUGUGUAUGAAGCCGAAGUAAUACACGAACAAGCAUGAUAACAGCCUCUGGUGCAAAUACAGAGCUGGCAGUCACCAUUACAUGCAUUAUACUAUACUCUGAAGUGCCAAAGUCAUGGGACAGCAGUAUGGAAAGCUAAUGGUAGAUGUUUGUUAAGGUGCUUCUACUUCUUUCCAUUCCAGCAUAACAGCAUUUCCGCUACACUACUGGGUUGAGUCACUGCUACCAAAGAAGUUCCACAUCCAAAAGAUUUUAGCCCAGAAUUUAACCCUAUAUUAUAAAUGAAUCAAAACUAUUAAAUCGUGCUGCAAAAUAUAUGUUCCUGACAUGUGCAACCAGGGCAGUAAAGAGCCUGGAUGGGCCCAGGUACUUUUCAGAGGGCGUGUCCUAACCACGGGAGUCGUGGCCCUGCACACUUACAGAACAAAAUAGUACUUUAAGCACCUCCCUGGCCACACUGGAGCUCAGCUGCUACAAAGUAAAGGAGGGGGGGGGUGUACUUGGAGUCCCCCUUCAUCAGGCCUGGGCCUGGGUAAAUAGUACCUGCUUACUCCCCACACCACCCAGGGCCGGCAACAGAAAUUUUGGGGCACAGUACACGUAUUUCUCUGGGGCCACCCCCAAUUAAUUCCUCUCAACACACUCACAUAUAUGUAAGUAUAUGCAUAUUUACACACACACGCACACACACACACACACACACACACACGUAUACACGUAUACACAUAUAUUUAUACAUAUAUACAUAUAAAUACACACACACACACACUGAGGGUGCCAGGACCCAGGAGGAACACACCACAGUCAGGGGACAGCAGAGGGGCUGUGGGUGGCGGCUGCUACUGUCAAGGUGUGCCCAACAGGAGGUGAUUUUCCUGGGCUCAGGGAUGCUCUGCUCCUCAACGGCACAAGAAACAGCAUGGAAGGGCUGGAGCAGCAUCAUGCGUUACGACAUCGGUAGUACAGGAGGGGUCACCGAACCAGACCAAGUGAGAGGGUAACAAGGGGGAAGGAGGGGGAGUAUAGAUGGUGCGGACAGUUAAUUGUUUUUUUUCCCCCUUACUUAAUUGGCAGGUGGAGUGGGCAAUGUAUAAAGUAUUUACAGGCACUCCAACACCUAUUUUUUGAGUCCCUCUGCAUCAGGGCCCCUCUGAAACAUGGGGACCGGUAUAGCAGUCCACUUUGACCCCCCCUGUCACUGGCCCUGACCCCACCAACCACACCACUGUGUGCAACCAGAGGCCCAAAGGUUACAUGUAUGUGCUUGUGGGAUCCAUUCAAUUUGCAGACUGUCGGGAUCCCGGCGGUCAGUAUACCAACCAGGUUUUGCCUUGUAAACAUUUGAUGCUUUAAAAAAAACGUAUGAGUUCAGCCGGAGUCUUGAAGAUCUGGCUAUCUCGCAAGCCUUUACAUCCGUCCCCAGGUCUCUGAAAGUUGUGAAUGUCAUAAGAAAAACAAAGUAACAACUGGUAGUAGAUUACAUAAUUAUUUCUAACUUACUCAUAAUACAGCAUGUAGGGCCUAAUUCAGCAUGACUCUCUAUUCAGAGAAAUUGCAGUUGUCUGAGAGUAGAAAGGCACAGCCCCGACAGGAAAAAAAAACCUCAUGCAAAAUUGCAAAUGCAUCGCAGAUCGCUAUCCACUCGCAGAUGCAUACGCAAUUCCCGGAACAUCUAAGAAACUUUGCCGUCUGAGCGUAUGCACCGCAAUGCGCAGGCGCGUCGUACGGGUCCAAAGCAGAUCGUUGCUGGGCGAUGGAUUUAACGAAGAAUCCAUUCGCACAGCCGAUCGCAAGGAAAUUGACAGGAAGAGGACGUUUGUGGGUGACAACUGACCAUUUUCUGGGAGUGUUUGGAAAAACACAGGCGUGUCCAAGCAUUUGCAGGGCGGGUGUCUGACGUCAAUUCCGGGACCAAAAAGACUGAAGUGAUCGCAAGUAAGUCCAGAGCUACUCAGAAACUGCAAAAAACGUUUUUGUCCCGCUCGGCUGCACAUGCGUUCGCACACUUGAAAAGCGAAAAUACAUUCCCCCGUGCACUGCGACUAUGCGUUUGCACGGCUGCUAAAAGUAGCUAGCGAGCAAUCAACUCGGAAUGAGGGCCAAAGUACCAGCCAAUCGGUUCCUAACUGUAAUUUUUCAAACAGCCUGUGGAAUGACCGUUAGGAGCCGAUUAGCUGGUGCUUUAUCUCCACUGACUUUAUCUCCAUCCAAGGCUUAGUAAAUAGACCCCUAAGUUACAUAGUGUGUUUUAGUGUCUAUAGAUUAAUUCUAUAAGCUACUGGUUUAAUAAUGCACAGCUAUAAAAUCUGCAGAGAAGGGAACACAAAAUGUGGUUUUAAGAAGGAAGAUGUUUGACCAAGGCUGGUCUGUUACCCAGUGCAACCAAGAGAAACAGUACUACUCCACAGGUAGUCAUAAAUACAAUAUACUGUAGUUCAGAGACACUGUACUAUGUUGUAUUGGAAAAUAUAUAUGUUGGACUGUAAUAUAUUUAAU